rnacentral:rRNA from 1 species
AGAGUUUGAUCCUGGCUCAGGAUGAACGCUAGCUACAGGCUUAACACAUGCAAGUCGAGGGGCAGCAUCAUCAAAGCUUGCUUUGAUGGAUGGCGACCGGCGCACGGGUGAGUAACACGUAUCCAACCUGCCGACAACACUGGGAUAGCCUUUCGAAAGAAAGAUUAAUACCGGAUGGCAUAGUUUUCCCGCAUGGGAUAAUUAUUAAAGAAUUUCGGUUGUCGAUGGGGAUGCGUUCCAUUAGGCAGUUGGCGGGGUAACGGCCCACCAAACCUACGAUGGAUAGGGGUUCUGAGAGGAAGGUCCCCCACAUUGGAACUGAGACACGGUCCAAACUCCUACGGGAGGCAGCAGUGAGGAAUAUUGGUCAAUGGACGAGAGUCUGAACCAGCCAAGUAGCGUGAAGGAUGACUGCCCUAUGGGUUGUAAACUUCUUUUAUACGGGAAUAAAGUGAGCCACGUGUGGCUUUUUGUAUGUACCGUAUGAAUAAGGAUCGGCUAACUCCGUGCCAGCAGCCGCGGUAAUACGGAGGAUCCGAGCGUUAUCCGGAUUUAUUGGGUUUAAAGGGAGCGUAGGCGGGUUGUUAAGUCAGUUGUGAAAGUUUGCGGCUCAACCGUAAAAUUGCAGUUGAUACUGGCGACCUUGAGUGCAACAGAGGUAGGCGGAAUUCGUGGUGUAGCGGUGAAAUGCUUAGAUAUCACGAAGAACUCCGAUUGCGAAGGCAGCUUACUGGAUUGUAACUGACGCUGAUGCUCGAAAGUGUGGGUAUCAAACAGGAUUAGAUACCCUGGUAGUCCACACAGUAAACGAUGAAUACUCGCUGUUGGCGAUAUACAGUCAGCGGCCAAGCGAAAGCAUUAAGUAUUCCACCUGGGGAGUACGCCGGCAACGGUGAAACUCAAAGGAAUUGACGGGGGCCCGCACAAGCGGAGGAACAUGUGGUUUAAUUCGAUGAUACGCGAGGAACCUUACCCGGGCUUAAAUUGCAACUGACGGAACCGGAAACGGUUCUUUCUUCGGACAGUUGUGAAGGUGCUGCAUGGUUGUCGUCAGCUCGUGCCGUGAGGUGUCGGCUUAAGUGCCAUAACGAGCGCAACCCUUAUCGAUAGUUACUAGCAGGUCAUGCUGAGGACUCUAUCGAGACUGCCGUCGUAAGAUGUGAGGAAGGUGGGGAUGACGUCAAAUCAGCACGGCCCUUACGUCCGGGGCUACACACGUGUUACAAUGGGGGGUACAGAAGGCAGCUACACGGCGACGUGGUGCUAAUCCCAAAAGCCUCUCUCAGUUCGGAUUGGAGUCUGCAACCCGACUCCAUGAAGCUGGAUUCGCUAGUAAUCGCGCAUCAGCCACGGCGCGGUGAAUACGUUCCCGGGCCUUGCACUCACCGCCCGUCA